AUGCCCUAGUAACGGCGAGUGAAGCGGCAACAGCUCAAAUUUGAAAUCUGGCCCUCGGGUCCGAGUUGUAAUUUGUAGAGGAUGAUUUUGGUUAGGUACCUUCCGAGUUCCUUGGAACAGGACGCCUUAGAGGGUGAGAGCCCCGUACGGUUGGAUGCCGAGCCUCUGUAAAUCUCCUUCGACGAGUCGAGUAGUUUGGGAAUGCUGCUCUAAAUGGGAGGUAAAUUUCUUCUAAAGCUAAAUACCGGCCAGAGACCGAUAGCGCACAAGUAGAGUGAUCGAAAGAUGAAAAGCACUUUGAAAAGAGGGUUAAAUAGUACGUGAAAUUGUUGAAAGGGAAGGGCUUGUGACCAGACCUUUGCCUUGCGGAUCAUCCGGUGUUCUCACCGGUGCACUCCGCUUGGUUGAGGCCAGCAUCAGUUUCGGCGGCGGGAUAAAGACUUCAGGAACGUGACUCCCCCGGGAGUGUUAUAGCCUGCUGUGUAAUACCGCCGCUGGGACUGAGGACCGCGCUUCGGCUAGGAUGCUGGCAUAAUGGUCAUCAGCCACCCGUCUUGAAACACGGACCAAGGAGUCGAACAUUUAUGCGAGUUUUUGGGUGUUAAACCCUCAAGCGUAAUGAAAGUGAACGGAGGUGGGAGCCCUUACGGGUGCAUCAUCGACCGAUCCUGAUGUCUUCGGAUGGAUUUGAGUAAGAGCAUAACUGUUCGGACCCGAAAGAUGGUGAACUAUGCGUGGAUAGGGUGAAGCCAGAGGAAACUCUGGUGGAGGCUCGCAGCGGUUCUGACGUGCAAAUCGAUCGUCAAAUCUGCGCAUGGGGCGAAAGACUAUCGA
rnacentral:rRNA from 1 species